rnacentral:lncRNA from 1 species
GCAUCACAGUUGUCUUGUGGUUAAGUCCUUGAUCUUUGAUUAUGUCAAACGUCAUUCCAUUGGAGUGUCCACGACAUCGUUGGGGUUAAGCCACUUAGUCAUGGAGGCAAGUGAAUGCGCAACAAGGUAUCUUUAACCUUCAAACUGUUUGAGGGAGAAUACUCUAUGAUAUGAUUCAGAAUCUUUGGCCAAAGUAUGAAUGAGAUUUAGGAAAACGUUCCAAAUCACAUUCAAGGUAAUCAUAUAAGCACACGAAUCACAUUGGAU